rnacentral:misc_RNA from 1 species
GGAUGAAGAACGCAGCGAAAUGCGAUAAGUAGUGUGAAUUGCAGAAUUCAGUGAAUCAUCGAAUCUUUGAACGCACAUUGCGCCCCAUGGUAUUCCGUGGGGCAUGCCUGUUCGAGCGUCAUUUACCCCCUCAAGCUCAGCUUGGUAUUGGGCCCCGCCGCUCCGGCGGGCCCUAAAGUCAGUGGCGGUGCCGUCCGGCUCCGAGCGUAGUAAUUCUUCUCGCUCUGGAGGUCCGGUCGUGUGCUCGCCAGCAACCCCCAAUUUUUUUCAGGUUGACCUCGGAUCAGGUAGGGAUACCCGCUGAACUUAAGCAUAUCAAUAAGCGGAGGA